GGAGAGAUGGCCGAGUGGUCGAUGGCGCACGCCUGGAAAGUGUGUAUACUCCAAAAGGGUAUCAUGGGUUCGAAUCCCAUUCUCUCCG
rnacentral:tRNA from 1 species